UAGUUGCUUAUAAUAAUGCUGAUGAAAAUAUUGCCAGUUAUGUAAGGCUUAUUGAUAUAUUCAGUAUGAAGUAACAGAAGGCUUUCAUAGUUUCACUUUCUAAAAAUAAUUUUUACAUUUUUAAAAAAUUUUUUUGAGAGUGUGCUGUAUGCGUAUUUGUAUGCUAGAGGACAAUAUGUGUGUCUUCCACUAUUGCUCUCUGCCUUAUGACAUGGGGGUCUUACUGAAUCAGGCACUCACUAAUUGGUCUAGAUCACCUGGUCAGUGUGUGCUGGCAUCUCCUGACUGUGUCCCCAGUACUAAGUUUACAGAUGUACGUGACCAUGCCCGGCUUUUAUAUGGCACCUGUGGAUCCAGAUGGCGGUCCUAAUGCUUUCGUGGCAUGUUGUUUGAGCCAACUGAGGAAUCUAACUUAUCUUGGCUUAUAUGUAUAUCUAUUUGUGAUGCAUAUGUGUUUGUAUGUACAUGGGCACACUUGUGCAAACAUGCAUGCACAUGUGUGUACCUGUGUGUGGAGGCCAGAGGUUAACAUUGGUGUGUUCCUUGAUUCCUUUUCACUCUGUUUAUUGUGGUAGGUCUCGCGUAUACCCAGACUUCACUGACUUGGCUAGUCUAGCUGGCCAUCAUUCUUACCUGGCUUUAUAUAUGGUUCUGGGAAUCUGAGCUCUAAUCUCAUACUUGCAUGUUAUAUACUUUACCUUCUGAGCCAUCUCCUUAGUCCCCAAAAUGAUGUGUAAAAGUGAUACAUGUUAAAAUAGUGCCUUUUAACCAAAAAUAGGUGGACUGAAUUAGUAUUUAUUCUGUUUAAGUAAAAAUUAGUUCUAAAUCUAUUGUGUAUGUGGGUGAUGUGGGUGUCAUGGUUCCUUGUGGAGGUUAGAGGAUAUCUUGGGGAAUUUGUUUCCUUUUCCUUGGUAUAUAAGUUCUGGGGAACAAUCUUAAUUUUGAGGGACCAUAGGUUAUACCCAUAGUCUUGGGUAUGCUUUGCAAGCAGCGAAUCACUGAGCCAUGUCCUCCAGCCACUGACUGUUGAAUUUUCAUCUGACAGAUGAUACCAGCUAUUGUUGAGAAGCUCCCACUGGAGUUCUGUGUAGGCAGCCAUGAGCCAUGUUGAUAAGACUUCAUGGGUGUAGUGUUUGACAUUUCUAGGAGAUCUCACAGCAAAUUUUCUGUCCCUCUGGUUUUUUUUUUUUUUUUUUACUUUUUUAAAGAUUUAUUUAUUAUUAUAUGUAAGUACACUGUAGCUGUCUUCAACCAGAAGAAGAUGUCAGAUCACAUUACAAAUGGUUGUGAGCCACCGUGUUGCUGGGAUUUGAACUCAGGACCUCUGGAAGAGCAGUUGGUGCUCUAACCUCUCUCCAGCUUGUCCCGCUGGCUUUUACAGCCUCCAUGCCCUCUCCGUCCGUGGUCCCUGAGCUUUAGGGGCUCAUGUUGGCCUAAAAGUCACUUGGAGCCCAGGUAGGUUUGUGCCACCACACCUAACUGCUGCUUUUAGACAACCUUAAAAUAUAUUUCACUUAAAAAUGGUCUAUUAACUUUUCUUUAGUAUUUUAAUGGUCUUUGUUAUUUGUUUUUGUUAGUGACUACUUAAUAUAGUUGGUUUGAUGAUGGAGACAUUUUAUACAUCCUACUAGAAAAAUAUAAUUACAACUUUGUGCUUAUUAGUUAAAAUGUGGGGCUGGAGAAAUGGCUCAGUGAUUAAGAGCACUGACUGCUUUUCCAGAGAACCUGGGUUCACUUCCCCGAACUCACAUGGCAGCUCACAAACUGUCUGUAACUCCAGCAUCUGCUACCCUUAAUACAGAUAUACAUGCAGGCAAGACAUCAGUGCACAUAAAAUAAAAGUAAAUUAAUUAAAAAAUAGUUAAAAUCUAAGUUCUUUGUUUCAGAAUUUUAUUUUGUUUUAAUUAUUUAUUUAUUUAUUUUUGGACAAUGAUGGAGACUGAACUCAUCAUUGUAAAUGCUAGACAAGUGUUCUAUCACAGAGCUACGUCACUAGUUAGAGUUCCAUUUCUUCAUGAAAAAAAUGUGAUCAGAAGUUAGCUGACCUUUUCUGAAACAUAGCUAAUACCUAAAGCAUUUCACUCCUCUUUUUCUCCUUGGUAGGGUUUCACUGUGUCUUUGGCUUGCCUAGAAUAUUCUGUGCAGACCAGAAUAUUCUGGCCUGGAACUUAGAGAAAUCUGCCCGCCUCUGCCUCCUGAGUACUAUGACUAAAGACAAGUGUGCCAACUCAGCUGAAAUCAUCACUUACCUCCCCCCCCAUAAGUCCUGAGCUACCUCUUAACUUGCUGUGUAAGAUGACUUUGAACUUUUUUUUUUUUUCCCCCGAAACAGGGUUUCUCUGUAUAGCCCUGGCUGUCCUGGAACUCACUCUGUAGACCAGGCUGGCCUCGAACUCAGAAAUCCGCCUGCCUCUGCCUCCAGAGUGCUGGGAUUAAAGGCGUGAGCCACCACGCCCGGCGACUUUGAACUUUUAAUAAUUCUGCCUCUGUCUGUCUCCCAAUUACUGGGUUUACAGAUACGUUCCAAGUCAGUAUUUUUGUGCCUUCUUUUUUACACUUAAUAUUAAAUGGCUAUUUAAUGUACCUAGAAAAUGGAGAAAGGAAUUAUAUAUCUUUCAUAUUAAAUUUAUAAAAGUAGUUAGAAAAUGAAGCUUUAAAAAUUUUUUUGAGGCAGGUUUUAAUGUAUAGUCCUGGCCAGUUGGAACUUUAAGUGAUCUCCUGCCCUGGCUUCCCCAGUGUUGGAAUUGCCUGUGCUGCCAUGUCUAGCAAAAAACGAAACAUUGUUACUGCUACAUGCAAGCUUUUGUUUAGAUUGUAAUAUUAUUCAUAUUUGUCCUGCAUCAAAAUGCUGUUUGUCAUAAACAAAAUUAAAAUUAAAGAGUUAUAUUUGUCUUGUUUUUUACUUGUUUAUUUUGUUGUUAUUUAUUUAGCUUUGCAGUGUUUGGGAUUGAAUCUGGGGCCUUGAGCAUGUUAGGGAAAUGUUUUCCCUGCUCUAGAAUUUUACUUUGAUAUAAGAAACUUGGCACUUUAUAGGAGAGACUGGAUUAGGAAAUUUAAAAAUGAGUUAUUUGCCUUUAUACUUUUUUUUUUAGAAUAGUGUAUUUCAAUAGUCUUUAUUAAAUUUAAUCCUGAAAUUCCUUUGUGUGUAGGUUAAUGAACUUUCUGAGGAAGAAGAGGAAGAUGAAAAGCUGGAGCAUAUAGAAGAACUUCCAGAAGAAGGUGUAGAAAAGUCAGCUGGCAUGCCAGAGGUGCUGCAGUUAAGGAUGACUGAAAACCUUCUGGACUCAGACAGUGUUACAGCAUCAACAAGGUAAACAUUUCAGUUGAGUCAACUUUCACUGUAGACUCAAGCACAAGAGACGAGCUUGUGUCGCUGAGCUGUGGGUGUAGCUAGUAUUGGAGAGUUUGCCUAGCAUGUGUAGGACCCUGGGUACUG
rnacentral:lncRNA from 1 species